AAGCAAAAGAAAAAAAAAAAAAAAAAAAAAAAAAAAAAAAGAAAAAAAAGGAAAAAAAAGGAGAAGAAGAAAAAGAAGAAAAAAAAAAAACAAAGGAAUAAAACGAGGUUAAAGUAUCAAUUGACGAUACGACUUAAUUUCGUAAUAUCGGUUGUACAUUUAAACAGGUGUACAUAUGUACAUAUGUACGUACGAACGUGCUAAUCGUUAUGGGAAGAAACUUCGACGAAGGAAGACGUUCGUAUUUUUAGCAACGUAUUUACAUUCUUGCCUUCUCAAGGGCGAGCCUCCGUUCGUGCUUCUGCCCGGAAACACGAUAUUCUGCUAGCGAGUAAGAAGGCCCGAGUUCGAGAUCGGCCCGAUCCAUAGAAGAAGAUCCUAUCGAUUGAUGCGUACCUUCUUUUCUAUGGAGCAGUGUGAGGACCGUGGACGUUCAAAGAGAGUUGAUUCAAGAGAAUAAAUCCCACAGGAUUACAUCCCUUUUCGGUGCCGAAGGGAACUAUCUGACAGUAAAUCUUGACGAGGUUGCAGAAGAAAAGAGACAGCAGUAAUAGUAGCUGACAGUCAUAGUAGUAGUAGUAAUAGUAGUAGUAGUAGAGAGAACGAGAGAGAUAGAGCGUGGAUUGGUUGAUGGAUUAUUCGAAACGCAUCUUUGACAUUACUGUAAAGACAUGGCCAAACGUGGACAGACGUGGCAAUGGAUCGUAGAGAGACAGAAAACGUUUCUUUCUAUUCGGCCCUUCUUCGCCAUCUUCUUUUUCUACUUGUCUUUCUCCUUCAUUAUUGUUCAACGUGCCAGAGGAAAAACUUACAUCUUUUUCUACAAACUUUUUCAUUUUUUUUUUGCAAUAAUUUAAAUUUCUUAAACGAAUUAAAUCAAUGUGAUUAAUAGAAAGAAGGAAUUAAUUAUAGGUAUCAAUGAAAAUGAGAUAAAUAUAGAUGAUGUAUGGAUCAUUUUUCAUAUAUCUUUAUAUCCUUUUAGGAAUUUAAUUUUUUCAUUCGGAGAUCUUUUAAACGAAUCUUUUUAUUUGGCUUUAAUAACGAAGGCAAGGCUUUUCGAAUAAACGUUUAUGCGUAUACGGGUAACCAAUCGAUUUUAUUACUCUUGAUUUCCUAUGAAACUCGAUCACGGUGAGAAACAAACGACGUCAGACGGUCGAUUUAGCAAAGAUCGUAUAAAUAAAAGCUCGAUGGAAUUUCUAGUGGGAGAGUUUUCUUUCAAAUUUUCCCUAUAUGAAAAGAUACGAUUACGAUGAAGCUUCGUGGAUUUUUGUUAUUAAAUUUAAUUAUACGCGAUAUUAUAACUUUCAAUGGAAGUUCUCGAAGGGUUACAAAAAUAUGAUUAUCCCAAUGGUUCAGCUAAAAUACGAUGUUAGAAAUUAGUUUUAGAUAUUUAUGUCGACUCGCAAUCUUACUGACAAGGAUAAAUAUGUUGGUCCAUUAAAAAGACGAUGAAUAGGGAAAGAUGGAAACGAAGGAGGUGGCUAAGUUGAUUCGAGCAUGCGCGUCUCCACGCCCUUCUCUAUCUCUGUGUUCCUCUUAUCCGUCACUACCGUGCGAAUAACCGGAUGGUGGAUGACCGCGAACGCAAGGUCAACCAGCGUCUAUCUUCGUUGGAAGAAAAUUUGUCGUUUCUAAUGUCAUUGGACACGUUCACAUUUCUAUCCUGAGAUUUCUCCUCUUCUUCUUUUAUUUUUUUUUUUUUUUUUUUUUUUUAUAAAUCCAAUUCCAAAUAAAAAUUUCUAUAUUU